rnacentral:sRNA from 1 species
ACUUCGUUUAAAAUGUUCCCGACUGUGAAAGAGGAUUUCAUAUUUCUCCUCGUUUGAACACGUUUUUAAUGUAUUAAUUCUCAACUCAGAACUUUGAUCUUUAUGAACUAAAUGUUGGGUUUUAUCUUAGAUAAGACGUUCGCGUAAGAAACGGUACGAGAACUCUAAAAUGGGGAAUGGGGGCCAUAUUUGAGUUCCAGAGAAUAACAAUCAGAGAUGGAGCAGCUAGAGUGAUAAAUCAUUGCUUAAUAAUGAAUGAAUCCUCUCCCUGGACGAUUGCACAAAAUCCUUCGUACAGAAAUGGAGACUGAUAACUAUAUUAAUUUUCGUACCAGGACUUCAAAGAUACCUCUUGAUUUCUGUUGCAAUAUUAAUUCACGAGUGGAUUUAAUCACUACUAGAUACCUCUCUGCAACAGUUAUUUUCUUUUCUUCCCUUUCUCUCUGUCAGAACAUAUGUUAAGGUUCUGUUCAUGUUAUUCUUUAUUUUUAUAUUACAAGAAGAAUUGCAAUGCAUUUUCAAUUAAGUUAAAAUAAUCACUCUUCAAGCCCCCUUUUCCAAGAAAUAAUAAUAAAUUAAUGUGAAAAUA